rnacentral:lncRNA from 1 species
CACGCGGAGAGCAGAGUGGGUGAUUUAAUAAACUCCUUCCACAGCCAGAAGUUGAGUAUAUUUGAUCCUCUUCGUGGAGAAUUCACCAGGCCUCACUCGUUUCACAUGAGCUUUCUCUCUACUGCCGUGAACGGUGGGACUGGGAAUUCCGGUUGCUCCUCAUUUGUGUCAAGCGUCUAAGAGGAAGAACGGAGUAAGACAAAAUUAGGCAUGAGGUUGGUGUUCAAUAUCUUGGAAAUGUUUUCUUACCACUGUAUAGAAGGAAUAUAAUAUAUAU